rnacentral:rRNA from 1 species
AAUAUCAAAGGUGAGCCAGUACAGGAUGGACCCGCGUCUGAUUAGCUAGUUGGUAAGGUAACGGCUUACCAAGGCGACGAUCAGUAGCCGACCUGAGAGGGUGAUCGGCCACAUUGGAACUGAGACACGGUCCAAACUCCUACGGGAGGCAGCAGUGGGGAAUAUUGCACAAUGGGCGAAAGCCGGAUGCAGCAACGCCGCGUGAGUGAUGAAGGCCUUCGGGUCGUAAAACUCUGUCCUCAAGGAAGAUAAUGACGGUACUUGAGGAGGAAGCCCCGGCUAACUACGUGCCAGCAG